rnacentral:misc_RNA from 1 species
GAGAUGGAAACAGAAGCAAUCAGGAGCUUCAAUCCAUUUAAUAGAAUUGGCGUCUGUGGCAUUUUUGUCCAAAAUUCCGAAUCGGGAGGUUUUUUCUUUGUCGUAUACCACCGGAGACCCGCCGCGGAUCAUCUCCGGCAACUUGAAAACCACCUGCUGGUCGGGAAUUACGACGAAUUUCUCUGUAAUUGCGAAAUCGUGCAUCAUCGUAGGCUGAGGCAGGGGAAUUUCAACGUCCGGUGAUUUCUCUCCCUCCGGCG